ACAACGACGAGUUUUAUCCUGGCUCAGGAUGAACGCUAGCGACAGGCCUAACACAGGCAAGUCGAGCGGCAGCACCUCGGGUGGUGAGCGGCGCACGGGUGAGUAACGCGUAUGUAACCUGCCCAUGAGUGGGGGAUAGCCAGGUGAACACCGGAUUAAGACCCCAUGACCCCCAUGUCUGCCAUCAUUUAUUGGUUAAAGAUUCAUUGCUCAUGGAUGGACAUGCG
rnacentral:rRNA from 1 species